GACGAACGCUGGCGGCGUGCUUAACACAUGCAAGUCGAACGGAAAGGCCCUGCUUGCAGGGUACUCGAGUGGCGAACGGGUGAGUAACACGUGGGUGAUCUGCCCUUCACUUCGGGAUAAGCUUGGGAAACUGGGUCUAAUACCGGAUAGGACCGCACUUUAGUGUGUGUGGUGGAAAGUUUUUUCGGUGUAGGAUGAGCUCGCGGCCUAUCAGCUUGUUGGUGGGGUAAUGGCCUACCAAGGCGGCGACGGGUAGCCGGCCUGAGAGGGUGUACGGCCACAUUGGGACUGAGAUACGGCCCAGACUCCUACGGGAGGCAGCAGUGGGGAAUAUUGCACAAUGGGCGCAAGCCUGAUGCAGCGACGCCGCGUGGGGGAUGAAGGCCUUCGGGUUGUAAACUCCGUUCGCUAGGGACGAAGCUUUUUGUGACGGUACCUAGAUAAGAAGCACCGGCUAACUACGUG
rnacentral:rRNA from 1 species